rnacentral:rRNA from 1 species
UACACUCCUGCGGGAGGCAGCAGUGGGGAAUCUUGCGCAAUGGGCGAAAGCCUGACGCAGCCAUGCCGCGUGAAUGAUGAAGGUCUUAGGAUUGUAAAAUUCUUUCACCGGGGACGAUAAUGACGGUACCCGGAGAAGAAGCCCCGGCUAACUUCGUGCCAGCAGCCGCGGUAAUACGAAGGGGGCUAGCGUUGCUCGGAAUUACUGGGCGUAAAGGGAGCGUAGGCGGACAUUUAAGUCAGGGGUGAAAUCCCGGGGCUCAACCUCGGAAUUGCCUUUGAUACUGGGUGUCUUGAGUAUGAGAGAGGUGUGUGGAACUCCGAGUGUAGAGGUGAAAUUCGUAGAUAUUCGGAAGAACACCAGUGGCGAAGGCGACACACUGGCUCAUUACUGACGCUGAGGCUCGAAAGCGUGGGGAGCAAACAGGAUUAGAAACCCCAGUAGUCCCA